rnacentral:misc_RNA from 1 species
UCUUCAUCACUAUCUCUCCCACCAUCCAUUCAAAUCCAAGUUGGAGGUAACUUUCCAAACCCCCAAGAUUGCACUCUCCACAUCCGAAGCAGCCCGCAAAUUCCCUUCUCUCCCUCUUGGCACCAUCCUCAUCAACUUGCCUGAAUUCCUCUUGCUAUUGACCCAAUCCAAUGCCGCCACCAAUGCUCAACUCAAUUGAC